UUACUAAGAACAUCACGGACUACCAAAACAAUCAACAGGUCAGUCCCAGAUCAAAGAAAACUCGAUUGCUUCUUUGAAGCAAGGAUGAUCAGGCAGACACAUACUUUGAGUAUGCAAUAUGAGCGCAGGAAACAAGGACAAGAUAAAAAUAUUGUAGAAUUCUGGGGAGAAAUUCAGUAAAAAUAGGAAAAAAAAGGAUAAGGAUAAAGAUAAAGACAAAGACAAAGAAGACCAAAAUCUUUUUUCCCUGAAGUCUGGGUGAAUAUUUAUAAUUGUAUUCAAUAGCANAAUCUAAUUCUUCUGAGACUUGAAGGAAUUGAAGUGCUAGAUAUACUGAAAUAUUGGUGUCCAAAAUAUGUCUUAAGNUGUAACACGUGUAAACUACACCUGAAAUCACAAGGAAGGAAANAUACUGGUGUCCCAGCAAGAUAUGAUCUGGAAAACAUCCAUUCAGAAGACCAUCCUAAGGACAGUUUUGGAAGCGUAGACUAUGCCAAGGAGAGCUUGAGNAUCUCUAGGGACAAAAAUGUUAAGGAGACCUCCUUUCCUUCAACGAAGCAAAGCUNUUCCAAAAAUCAAAGGAGAGGAAAGGAUGGAAACUUUGGAGCGGAGAAGCAAGAGAAGCCAAUGUUGGUUGACCGUCUAGCAGAAGAAGCUGAUGGGGGACCUUCCAGGUCCCACAGUGCAACGCAGCAGGGGCCNAAAAGAAGUCUGGAAUCAGCAACAAGCGCUGGAGAUUUCCUGGCCCCCGGAGAAGNGGCUUUUCCUUCCACAGAAGGGGAGGCCAUUUUGCGAAGUAGCAGCGCCAGUUGCGGCAGAGUCAAGUGUGAGAUGACACUUCCAUUGUCUGUGGGGAAAGCACUGAGGGAGGGGCCCAGGGGCUGAUGCAGGGUAGAACGACCUCCCCUUCUCUGCUUGUCCGGAGCCUCAGUAGCCC
rnacentral:lncRNA from 1 species